rnacentral:rRNA from 1 species
UGCAGUCGAGCGAAUGGAUAAGAGCUUGCUCUUAUGAAGUUAGCGGCGGACGGGUGAGUAACACGUGGGUAACCUGCCCAUAAGACUGGGAUAACUCCGGGAAACCGGGGCUAAUACCGGAUAACAUUUUGAACCGCAUGGUUCGAAAUUGAAAGGCGGCUUCGGCUGUCACUUAUGGAUGGACCCGCGUCGCAUUAGCUAGUUGGUGAGGUAACGGCUCACCAAGGCAACGAUGCGUAGCCGACCUGAGAGGGUGAUCGGCCACACUGGGACUGAGACACGGCCCAGACUCCUACGGGAGGCAGCAGUAGGGAAUCUUCCGCAAUGGACGAAAGUCUGACGGAGCAACGCCGCGUGAGUGAUGAAGGCUUUCGGGUCGUAAAACUCUGUUGUUAGGGAAGAACAAGUGCUAGUUGAAUAAGCUGGCACCUUGACGGUACCUAACCAGAAAGCCACGGCUAACUACGUGCCAGCAGCCGCGGUAAUACGUAGGUGGCAAGCGUUAUCCGGAAUUAUUGGGCGUAAAGCGCGCGCAGGUGGUUUCUUAAGUCUGAUGUGAAAGCCCACGGCUCAACCGUGGAGGGUCAUUGGAAACUGGGAGACUUGAGUGCAGAAGAGGAAAGUGGAAUUCCAUGUGUAGCGGUGAAAUGCGUAGAGAUAUGGAGGAACACCAGUGGCGAAGGCGACUUU